GACGAACGCUGGCGGCGUGCUUAACACAUGCAAGUCGAACGGAAAGGCCCUGCUUUUGUGGGGUGCUCGAGUGGCGAACGGGUGAGUAACACGUGAGUAACCUGCCCUUGACUUUGGGAUAACUUCAGGAAACUGGGGCUAAUACCGGAUAGGAGCUCCUGCUGCAUGGUGGGGGUUGGAAAGUUUCGGCGGUUGGGGAUGGACUCGCGGCUUAUCAGCUUGUUGGUGGGGUAGUGGCUUACCAAGGCUUUGACGGGUAGCCGGCCUGAGAGGGUGACCGGCCACAUUGGGACUGAGAUACGGCCCAGACUCCUACGGGAGGCAGCAGUGGGGAAUAUUGCACAAUGGGCGGAAGCCUGAUGCAGCAACGCCGCGUGCGGGAUGACGGCCUUCGGGUUGUAAACCGCUUUCGCCUGUGACGAAGCGUGAGUGAAGGUAAUGGGUAAAGAAGCACCGGCUAACUACGUGCCAGCAGCCGCGGUGAUACGUAGGGUGCGAGCGUUGUCCGGAUUUAUUGGGCGUAAAGGGCUCGUAGGUGGUUGAUCGCGUCGGAAGUGUAAUCUUGGGGCUUAACCCUGAGCGUGCUUUCGAUACGGGUUGACUUGAGGAAGGUAGGGGAGAAUGGAAUUCCUGGUGGAGCGGUGGAAUGCGCAGAUAUCAGGAGGAACACCAGUGGCGAAGGCGGUUCUCUGGGCCUUUCCUGACGCUGAGGAGCGAAAGCGUGGGGAGCGAACAGGCUUAGAUACCCUGGUAGUCCACGCUGUAAACGGUGGGUACUAGGUGUGGGGUCCAUUCCACGGGUUCCGUGCCGUAGCUAACGCUUUAAGUACCCCGCCUGGGGAGUACGGCCGCAAGGCUAAAACUCAAAGGAAUUGACGGGGCCCCGCACAAGCGGCGGAGCAUGCGGAUUAAUUCGAUGCAACGCGUAGAACCUUACCUGGGUUUGACAUGGAUCGGGAGCGCUCAGAGAUGGGUGUGCCUCUUUUGGGGUCGGUUCACAGGUGGUGCAUGGCUGUCGUCAGCUCGUGUCGUGAGAUGUUGGGUUAAGUCCCGCAACGAGCGCAACCCUUGUUCACUGUUGCCAGCACGUUAUGGUGGGGACUCAGUGGAGACCGCCGGGGUCAACUCGGAGGAAGGUGGGGAUGACGUCAAGUCAUCAUGCCCCUUAUGUCCAGGGCUUCACGCAUGCUACAAUGGCUGGUACAGAGAGUGGCGAGCCUGUGAGGGUGAGCGAAUCUCGGAAAGCCGGUCUCAGUUCGGAUUGGGGUCUGCAACUCGACCUCAUGAAGUCGGAGUCGCUAGUAAUCGCAGAUCAGCAACGCUGCGGUGAAUACGUUCCCGGGGCU
rnacentral:rRNA from 1 species